UUAAUUGAAACCAAAAUAGAGGUAUAUUACUGUUAAUAAUAUUAUUGAAAAAUCAUUUCCAAUUAAG
rnacentral:tRNA from 2 species